rnacentral:sRNA from 1 species
AGUCUUCCGGCCCCAGGUCAGUGAGUGGUGAGCCAGGCCCAGAGAGCUCUGGGCCCAUUGGAACAUCCCCUUCUGGGGAGGCUGGAAGGCCAUGGUCAUUCACCUCUCCCCAGCAAGGUGGGACCUGCCCUGGAAGGAGAAACCAGACCAGGUGUUGGCUACGUUUGUGGUUUUAAGAAAGCCUGAGGCCCUGAAGGCAGCCCCUGGAGAAGCCCUUUUCGAGGGCAUUCGGAACCUUCUGGUCCUAGAGGUGAAGCUGAACUGUCACCAGGACUUAUGACCCGCGGCUUCGCUCCCAUUCUGCCCGUCGAGUUCCACAAGAUGGGCUCCUUCCGCAGGCCUAGACCGCGCUUCAUGAGCUCCCCCGUGCUCAGCGACCUUCCCCGAUUCCAAGCAACUCGGCAGGCUCUGCAGCUGAGCUCCAGCUCAGCCUGGAACAGCGUUCAGACUGCUGUGAUCAACGUUUUCAAAGGGGGUGGCUUGCAAAGCAACGAGCUCUAUGCCCUGAACGAAAACAUCAGAACCAGCUUCUUGCAAAAGGACUGUUCUUUGUGGAGGAGAA